UGAGGAAUAUUGGUCAAUGGGCGCAGGCCUGAACCAGCCAAGUCGCGUGAGGGAAGACGGUCCUACGGAUUGUAAACCUCUUUUGUCGGGGAGUAACGUGCGGGACGGGUCCCGUAUUGAGAGUACCCGAAGAAAAGCAUCGGCUAACUCCGUGCCAGCAGCCGCGGUAAUACGGAGGAUGCGAGCGUUAUCCGGAUUUAUUGGGUUUAAAGGGUGCGUAGGCGGCAUGAAAAGUCAGCGGUAAAAUAGCGGGGCUCAACCCCGUCGAGCCGUUGAAACUUUCAGGCUUGAGUGAGCGAGAAGUAUGCGGAAUGCGUGGUGUAGCGGUGAAAUGCAUAGAUAUCACGCAGAACUCCGAUUGCGAAGGCAGCAUACCGGCGCUCAACUGACGCUGAGGCACGAAAGUGCGGGGAUCAAACAGGCUUAGAUACCCUGGUAGU
rnacentral:rRNA from 1 species